rnacentral:rRNA from 1 species
AACGAACGCUGGCGGCAUGCCUAACACAUGCAAGUCGAACGGGAUCCUAGCUUGCUAGGUGAGAGUGGCGGACGGGUGAGUAACACGUGGGAAUCUGCCUUUUGGUUCGGGAUAACCGCGGGAAACUGCGGCUAAUACCGAAUGCCCUCGAGAGAGGAAAGAUUUAUCGCCAGAAGAGGAGCCCGCGUCCGAUUAGGUAGUUGGUGGGGUAAAGGCCUACCAAGCCGACGAUCGGUAGCUGGUCUGAGAGGAUGAUCAGCCACACUGGGACUGAGAUACGGCCCAGACUCCUACGGGAGGCAGCAGUGGGGAAUAUUGGACAAUGGGCGAAAGCCUGACGCAGCCAUGCCGCGUGUAUGAUGAAGGUCUUAGGAUUGUAAAAUACUUUCACCGGGGAAGAUAAUGACGGUACCCGGAGAAGAAGCCCCGGCUAACUUCGUGCCAGCAGCCGCGGUAAU